rnacentral:lncRNA from 1 species
CUGGCAAUUAAUUUAAAAGUACGUGUGAAGUUGCAAAUUGUUCAAUUAACAUUUUUUAAUUAAAAUUUUCGACAAAUUACAAAUUCAAGACAAAAUUACACACAAAAGAAGCAUGAAAUGAACUCUGUAGAAUUCUGUUGCUAACAUAAAUGCCAAUCCAUUGAAGAUGAUGUAGAGAAAAAUUCAGGGCUGAUGAUAAAUUUUAUUUUUUAAAGAAAAAAAAAUAUAUAGAACAUGAAAUUAGUUUAAUGAACUUCAGUCACUACUUAUUUAUUGGAAUUUCUCAUUUUGUAAAGGAGAAAUAAAAGUAAUACAUAACUACAACAAGUGGUGAUGAUUGAUGAAUACAGAAAACUUGUUUGAAUUCCUACGGAAAAGUUUUUGAGCCAAGCCAAAUACACCAAAAUAAGGGACACUAUUUAGCGAGAAAUUUUUCUAGUGCAGAGGGAAAGAAACUAUGGGCUAUAUCCAAAAAUCAGCUCUCAAAAAUUGUAAUUAUUACAGUGUUUUCUCAACAUAUUUGUUCAUAUAUCGAGGUAAUAAGUCAAUCAUAGAUAAUUUAGGGUUAAUUCUUCCAAGAUUUUAGAUCUUAAGUAGAAGAAAAAUCUCGUAAGAAAACAAGAAGAA